rnacentral:rRNA from 1 species
AUGGGGAAGGCUGGCCUCAGUUUUAUCGACGACUCAAAGUGGGCGGAAGUAAAGCAUAUUAAUUGCUAUGCGACGUUCAUGGGGUACCUGUGGAUGGCAAUGAGAGGGUUAGGCGUCCUAGUGGUUACCUGGACUACCGUCGUUCUUCUUGGUGGUUUCGUGUCCAUGCUGGAAAAGAAAGACUUUUGGUGUCUCACGGUGAUUACCCUUGUUCAAACAGCCGGGUUAGUUUCGUCACUACUGCUUAUUUUUUAG